UUCGCCUGUCGUUUAUGAGGAUGAGAACCUCCGAAGGAGGUUUGAGCCGAGCGAAGCGAGACAACGUUGCUUUAGCAACGGCCCGCAGGGCGGGCAUCGAAGAUGCCAGUAAUCCUCUCUCGCCGACCA
rnacentral:sRNA from 1 species